rnacentral:rRNA from 1 species
UGGGGAAUAUUGGACAAUGGGCGAAAGCCUGAUCCAGCCAUGCCGCGUGUGUGAAGAAGGUCUUCGGAUUGUAAAGCACUUUAAGUUGGGAGGAAGGGCAUUAACCUAAUACGUUAGUGUUUUGACGUUACCGACAGAAUAAGCACCGGCUAACUCUGUGCCAGCAGCCGCGGUAAUACAGAGGGUGCAAGCGUUAAUCGGAAGUACUGGGCGUAAAGCGCGCGUAGGUGGUUUGUUAAGUUGGAUGUGAAAUCCCCGGGCUCAACCUGGGAACUGCAUUCAAACCUUACUGACUAGAGUAUGGUAGAGGGUGGUGGAAUUUCCUGUGUAGCGGUGAAAUGCGUAGAUAUAGGAAGGAACACCAGUGGCGAAGGCGACCACCUGGACUAAUACUGACACUGAGGUGCGAAAGCGUGGGGAGCAAACA